rnacentral:misc_RNA from 1 species
AAGUCGUAACAAGGUUUCCGUAGGUGAACCUGCGGAAGGAUCAUUUUCAAAAUGCUUUCUAUGCUUUACUGCAUAUAUGGCAACAACUCUUACCAACAACGAGGGGGAGAGGUGAGGUGCUUUACUGCAUCGCAUCUCUUUACUUCAUAUGUGAUAUCCUGGUAUAUGCAGCCCUAUAAUCUUACUUACUCUCGACGGAGCGCGUCUCCAGAGAGAGGCCAAUGAAAAGAACACCUCUUGUACACUUUUUGCCGUAAAACAGCACAAGUGGCCAAGUCGCAAAUAAAAACUAUUUCCUUCUGUUUAUCCCUCACGGGGUAAGUGGAAACAAAAAAAAAUACAAUUAUUACGACAACUUUUAACGGUGGAUCUCUUGGCUCGU